rnacentral:rRNA from 1 species
GUAAUGCUUAGGAAUCUGCCUAUUAGUGGGGGACAACAUCUCGAAAGGGAUGCUAAUACCGCAUACGUCCUACGAGAGAAAGCAGGGGACCUUCGGGCCUUGCGCUAAUAGAUGAGCCUAAGUCGGAUUAGCUAGUUGGUGGGGUAAAGGCCUACCAAGGCGACGUUCUGUAGCGGGUCUGAGAGGAUGAUCCGCCACACUGGGACUGAGACACGGCCCAGACUCCUACGGGAGGCAGCAGUGGGGAAUAUUGGACAAUGGGGGGAACCCUGAUCCAGCCAUGCCGCGUGUGUGAAGAAGGCCUUUUGGUUGUAAAGCACUUUAAGCGAGGAGGAGGCUACCGAGAUUAAUACUCUUGGAUAGUGGACGUUACUCGCAGAAUAAGCACCGGCUAACUCUGUGCCAGCAGCCGCGGUAAUACAGAGGGUGCAAGCGUUAAUCGGAUUUACUGGGCGUAAAGCGCGCGUAGGUGGCCAAUUAAGUCAAAUGUGAAAUCCCCGAGCUUAACUUGGGAAUUGCAUUCGAUACUGGUUGGCUAGAGUAUGGGAGAGGAUGGUAGAAUUCCAGGUGUAGCGGUGAAAUGCGUAGAGAUCUGGAGGAAUACCGAUGGCGAAGGCAGCCAUCUGGCCUAAUACUGACACUGAGGUG